rnacentral:rRNA from 1 species
GAGUUUGAUCCUGGCUCAGGAUUAACGCUGGCGGCAUGCCUAACACAUGCAAGUCGACCGCUGUGCUUGCACAGAGGGGCGAACGGGUGAGUAACACGUAUCUAACCUACCUUUUAGUCUGGAAUAACUGUGGGAAACUGCAGCUAAUGCCGGAUAGAAGUCCAUUGGAAUCACUGGAGGACCAAAGAUCCGUUUGGAUCGCUAUUAGAUGGGGAUGCGGCGUAUUAGUUAGUUGGUGAGGUAAUGGCUCACCAAGACGAUGAUACGUAGCCGGCCUGAGAGGGUGAACGGCCACACUGGAACUGAGACACGGUCCAGACUCCUACGGGGGGCAGCAGUAGGGAAUCUUCCACAAUGGGCGAAAGCCUGAUGGAGCAAUGCCGCGUGAGUGAUGAAGGUCUUCGGAUCGUAAAGCUCUGUUGUAAGGGAAGAACGGUAUAUAUAGGAAAUGAUAUAUGCGUGACGGUACCUUACCAGAAAGCCACGGCUAACUACGUGCCAGCAGCCGCGGUAAUACGUAGGUGGCAAGCGUUAUCCGGAUUUACUGGGCGUAAAGAGGGAGCAGGUGGUUCUGUAAGCCAGAGGUUAAAGACCGGAGCUCAACUCCGUGUAUGCCUUUGAAACUACAGGACUAGAGAAUAAGAGAGGUUAGUGGAAUUUCAUGUGUAGCGGUGGAAUGCGUAGAUAUAUGAAGGAACACCAGUGGCGAAGACGACUAACUGGCUUAUUUCUGACACUCAGUCCCGAAAGCGUGGGUAGCAAAUAGGAUUAGAUACCCUAGUAGUCCACGCCGUAACGAUGAGUAUUAGGUGUCGGGGUUUCUCGGUGCACAGCUACGCAUAAAUACUCCGCCUGGGANUAUGCUCGCANAGUGAACUCAAGAAUGACGNNGG